GGUCGCUUCACAACGAUACACCGGUUCCUGUAAGAUCAUCGAAAUUAAACAGCGCCGAGCCUGGUCAGUACUUAGAUGGGUGACAGCUUGGAAAUAUCAGGU